GAUGAACGCUGGCGGCGUGCCUAAUACAUGCAAGUCGAGCGAACAGAUAAGGAGCUUGCUCCUUUGACGUUAGCGGCGGACGGGUGAGUAACACGUGGGUAACCUACCUAUAAGACUGGGAUAACUUCGGGAAACCGGAGCUAAUACCGGAUAACAUUUGGAACCGCAUGGUUCUAAAGUGAAAGAUGGUUUUGCUAUCACUUAUAGAUGGACCCGCGCCGUAUUAGCUAGUUGGUAAGGUAACGGCUUACCAAGGCAACGAUACGUAGCCGACCUGAGAGGGUGUUCGGCCACACUGGAACUGAGACACGGUCCAGACUCCUACGGAAGGCAGCAGUAGGGAACCUUCCGCAAUGGGCGAAAGCCUGACGGAGCAACGCCGCGUGAGUGAUGAAGGGUUUCGGCUCGUAAAACUCUGUUAUUAGGGAAGAACAAAUGUGUAAGUAACUGUGCACGUCUUGACGGUACCUAAUCAGAAAGCCACGGCUAACUACGUG
rnacentral:rRNA from 1 species